AUUUGAAAUCUGGCACUUUCAGUGUCCGAGUUGUAAUUUGAAGAAGGUAUCUUUGGGUCUGGCUCUUGUCUAUGUUUCUUGGAACAGAACGUCACAGAGGGUGAGAAUCCCGUGCGAUGAGAUGUCCCAGACCUAUGUAAAGUUCCUUCGAAGAGUCGAGUUGUUUGGGAAUGCAGCUCUAAGUGGGUGGUAAAUUCCAUCUAAAGCUAAAUAUUGGCGAGAGACCGAUAGCGAACAAGUACAGUGAUGGAAAGAUGAAAAGAACUUUGAAAAGAGAGUGAAAAAGUACGUGAAAUUGUUGAAAGGGAAGGGCUUGAGAUCAGACUUGGUAUUUUGUAUGUUACUCUCUCGGGGGUGGCCUCUACAGUUUACCGGGCCAGCAUCAGUUUGAGCGGUAGGAUAAGUGCAAAGAAAUGUGGCACUGCUUCGGUAGUGUGUUAUAGUCUUUGUCGAUACUGCCAGCUUAGACUGAGGACUGCGGCUUCGGCCUAGGAUGUUGGCAUAAUGAUCUUAAGUCGCCCGUCUUGAACCAC
rnacentral:rRNA from 1 species